GGCUCCUGCUCCUUCACAUAGGGCUCCGCCGGGGAGGAAGGAGGAAGCCCUCGCUAUCCUUCCACUGCUAGCCUCGGAGGCCGAAUUGAGAACCCGUUGCCCGCAUCAGGAGCUCGUUGCCGACUCCGCCGCCCACCCCAAAACCGUCCAUCGCCCGCCAGAUCUCUCAAUCCAUCGUCCCGGCCGGCGAGGCGAUUGGGGAAUAAGAGGAACCGCCGGAGCAUCCACUGCAAUAAAAUAAGAUGGGCAACUAUCUGACAAGCACAAUAUCGGCACAGGAGCAUGAUCAGCAUGUCCAUGUUAGACCAGCGAGGAGACUGACAAACGAAAAGGGAAGGCCGAUUGUUAGGCUCGAAGACCUUCCAGAGGAUGUGCUGCAUACGGUUCUAUCGAAAUUACCUGCAAGAGAGGUCGUGCGGUCCAGCGUCUUGUCGAGAAAGUGGAGAUCCGUGUGGACAACCUGCAUCAAGCUGAGCUUCAAUGACGCCGAUGUGUGCAGUGGGCGUGGCGGUGCGAAAUCGGAACAAGGCACCCAGGUUUUCAUCGACCGUGUCGACGCGGUUCUGCGGAGGCACCGAGGCAGGGCUGUUGACCAGUUUGAGAUCAAGUUUAUAUUCGAGAGCAAGCUCGCUGACCAUCUCGAUAACUGGAUCAGCUUUGCGAUGACAGCCCACACGAAGAAUCUAGCUUUUGAUCUGGCACCACCAUCCAAUUUCCUCAAGCACGGGGAUCAUUACAGGUUCCCGUUUGAACUUCUAGACAGGGAAGGUGCGUCCUGCCUACAGCGUCUUCAGCUUUGCUUUGUGUCUUUCAGACCACCUCCUGCCCAGUUCGUAGGUUUCCCAAACCUAAGAAAGCUUGCUCUCCACGUACUCGACACCACAAAUCAGGAUCUCGACAAUAUCUUGGGCAGUUGCUGUAAACUUGAGUGGCUGAGCAUAGUGAGAUGCCAUCUGAAGGAUGAACUGAAGAACUCUCCACCUUUGUUUAUAAAGGAUCAUUCAUACCUGUUUCCCUCCGUCAUGCUUCGAAACUUGAAAAGGCGAAAAUUUGGUUUUACGAUACAACUUUUCAGCAAGCUAUCACCUCACUUCUCGAUGGGCUUCCGGAUGUACGAAACCUGACAUUGCAGUUUUCAUUUCAACGACUAGAGAACCGAUGGGUGUUAAACAGCCCUCACAUGUUUUCUCAGCUCAGGCAUGUGCAGAUACUGCUCAUCGCAACUGAUGAAGACGCUGACAAAAUUCUCUAUUUAGUUUCCUUUCUGAGGGUUGCUCCCUUUAUUGAAAAGCUUGAAGUACAUUUUCAUUGCCUUCCUACUUUGUGGUUUGCAAAUUGUGGGCCUUUGAGACAACAAAUACCCGCGAAUGAAUACAAAUACGUGAAUCUGAAGAAUGUACGUGUUACAGGAUUUAGAGGAGCAAGAGGCCAAGUUGAAUUCCUUAUGCAUGUUGUGGAGAAUGCCCCUGCGAUACAAGGGGUGACUGUAGAUACAACUCAAAGACUAACUGACGCAUAUGAUCCAGAUGAAGCAACCCCAACACUAGAUAGGGCGGCGCUUGAUAUGGUUAGAGGUCCUGUCCUUAAGGGACUCCCAUCGCAUGCAAAGCUUUCACUUAUUUAAGAUAGAUAUGCAGAGGUAUCUGUGUACUUUUGAACUCCAUGGAAGCAACAAGUGUAGUACAUCAAGCCUGAUUUAAAGGCCAUGUAAAUUUGUAUGUUUUGCCAUAUUGAAUUAAAAGCGGCAUCCCAUCCCAUGAUUUAAAUCCUCAGCGCCUCGGGCUUUCUUGCUGUCAGAUUGGCACUAGAUACCAUCUAAGCACAUCGGCGCUCGGGCGUGGUGGCCGUGACCCCAGCAAGCGAUGUCCUCUUCAUCACCAGCCGGUCGAGGACAAUGCAAUCCACUCCCUCUCUUCCUACGGCUGCCGCACCGCGCCACUCAUGACCUGAGCACUGGAGAUCUGCAGCGUCCGGUGCUCUGGCUGCAAGGAGAUCCAUCUUUCAUGUCAUGUCUCCUUUACCGUGUUGUGCUCACGGCACAUUGUCCUAAUGCUUGCAAAGGUAACCCGCUCAAUCUUAUUACAGUUUAUGAUAGUUAUAGUAGCCUGCGAAUGUACCAUGGAUUAGACUGUUGUAAUUGCAGUGCAGACUUCAAUAUUAAGAUGGACUGAUGUCGCCUUGAUCCCCUUCUCUACAGAACAUUCUGCUCACUGAUGAGCAUCUUUAAUUUUUCUAUGCAUUUGGUGUUGGGUGUUGAUAACUGCUUGCUUUUAUUAUCUCAUCAUGUGUGACAGCUCUGGAGUUGGAAUCACCUGAUCAAAUGAACAAGCUUCUUCUAGCACUCGUAAGGGAGGAGGCGGAGGAAAUCUUUAGGCUUCAGCAAACAAGUUGUGAUUCUCUGGUUUCUUCUUCCACAUAAGCGGUGGUGUAGGAAGCAUGUGCCUCUCGGGGGUGGAUGAUCCGAGAGGUGAUCUCUUUUUGUCUGAGACAGUUUCAGCUACCAUACAACAAACAAUAAUAUCAGGCCAUUUGGUUCCAUUUAUUUUUCUACAUACUGCAUACAUAGGUUUCUAACUUUGAGGUAGCUGCUUGUCUUUAGUUUUCUGUGGAGCUUCAAGUUCUCUAUAUAUGAUCUUAUAAUUUUUUUUUUCUUGUGCUGUUUUAUUUGAAUAGCUUCCCUUAGUUAUGCAGGUUUAGUACAUUUUUCAAUAUUCUGCUCAUUGUGAUCCAACUAAAUUAACCCAACAAUUUGAGGCUCUCAUGCACGUCAGCAGCAGCCAGUGCAGGUUAAUCCUGUCUGGGACAAACUCUGGAAGUUGUCGGUUCCAAGUAAAGUUCAGAUUUUUCUCUGGAAGGCGCUUCAUGAGGCUGUGCCGGGAAGGGCAGUAUUAGCAGCAAGACACAUUAACGACUUGGAAUAAACCUUUUCCGGGUUGUUAUAAAUUGAAUACCGAUGCUUCUUUCUUUGGUGAUGGUUCAGCAGCAGUUGGUGUAGUUUUGAGAAAUACCAGCGGUGAGGCAAUUGCGGGCGAGUACUGUCCGUUGGAAAAUGUUUUAUCUGCAGCUACUGCAGAAGCUUUGGCUCUCCUAACGGGACUGAAACUUUUGGAGUUUGUGGGAUGCAACAAUGUGACGAUUGAGGCAGAUUCUUUGGAGUUGAUACAGGCCUGUAAUGGUACCAUUGAAAUUUGGAAUCCUAUGCCUUUUGAAGGCGAGCAAUAUUCAGAAUAUAACUUUCAAGCUCUAUCCGAGGGAGGCUAAUUGAGUGGCGCAUGAACUAGCUAGAUUUGCUUCUGAAACAAAGGAGAGUUUUGUAUGGGAUGGUGAUCCACCUGGGUUCAUCCACCCUUUUAUUUUGCAUGAUGUAACUCUUCUGUCAAUGAAAUAAAACGCCAUAGAGGCUUCCCUUUCAA